CCUANGGGGGGCAGCAGUCGAGAAUAAUUCACAAUGGGGGCAACCCUGAUGGUGCAACGCCGCGUGGAGGAUGACGGUCUUCGGAUUGUAAACUCCUGUCAUCCGGGAGUAAGACCUGGCGGUUAACAGCCGACAGGGUUGAUAGUACCGGAAGAGGAAGGGACGGCUAACUUCGUGCCAGCAGCCGCGGUAAUACGAAGGUCCCGAGCGUUGUUCGGAAUCACUGGGCGUAAAGGGAGCGUAGGCGGCGCGGUAAGUCAGAUGUGAAAUCCCGGGGCUCAACCCCGGAACUGCAUCCGAUACUGCCGCGCUUAGAGGAUUGGAGAGGUAGCUGGAAUUCUUGGUGUAGCAGUGAAAUGCGUGGAUAUCAAGAGGAACACUCGUGGCGAAAGCGAGCUACUGGACAACUCCUGACGCUGAGGCUCGAAGGCCAGGGUAGCGAAAGGGAUUAGAUACCCCGNUANUC
rnacentral:rRNA from 1 species